AGAAGACUCUUGAGAGUCCCUUGGACUGCAAGGAGAUCCAACCAGUCCAUUCUAAAGGAGUGCUGUGAGCUGGCUUCUCCCCAGUGUUCUGCACCAAGCAGCUGCCCCCAACCCCGCCCAGAGGCCUCUGUCGUGACACGUGGACUCUGCCGUUGGCGCUUAGCUGCUUCUCCGGGGAUUGUGGAGGAUUAAGCGUUGCUGUCAAUAACCGGAAACUGCUCUUCAAUAUGAAGAUGUAGACAAUCGGGGGCGAGAGCCAGAAGGCGAGAGACCUGCUCUUGGCCCCUGUGCCGUCUCCUCGUCGACUGUCAUUUCAUAUAGACUGUCGCGUCCACAGCCAGCGAAUGAGAAUUGAGAGCGGGGGCUGCAAAGGGGUGAGCUGGGGGCCCUUCCCACGCCUCUGCUCUGUGCUCGCCACGGUCACAGCGUCUGCACGUAGGCCCCUGCGGCCACACGUGCUCCCGUGACAGCUUAUUCUGCAUCAGCUGUUACCAUCGAACAUCCCCUUGUCCUGUGACCCUGGGAUGUCACUGGGUGUCCAUCUCCUGCAAGGAAGACGCAUGAACCCAGCAAGUCUCCCGUUGCAGGAUGCUGUUUGACACCGACUCAUGGAGUCAAAGCCUUGGGAACCCUCGAGAGCCGGCAGAGGGGGCAGACACCGAGGACUAGGCAAGGAAGACUGAGAGCGCAGCAGGGCUCAGCAGGGCGUCCGGAGUUCCUCAGGAGAAGAGCUAGACUCAGAAGAACGUGCGUGUCCCAUUCUUACUUUUGGAGGCAGGCUAGGCAAAACCCCUCUAGAUGUAGGUUUGCCUAAAUAGCGGUACCUUUACGUGUAUGUGACUGAAGAGAAAAAUGCAGACACACCCCUGUGAUAUUUUCCACCUGGUUUCCAGGGGAGAGCUGGGGGCGGGUGGAGGAGCGGUCAGCAGGUGGGGAGGGAGACAGAUGUGAAAGUAGAGGAAAGUGGCUAGGCUUUAGAAUUAGUUUAUAUGGCGCCAUGCUGCAUGCACGUGCAAUUUUAUUAAAGUGUACACCUGUGGAUACCCAUAUAAAGACAUUUAAAAGCCCACGUCGCUGGCAGAUUUUCUGUCUGAAUUGAUGAAGGGAGUUGGGAUGGGUCCUUCUCCUCUUCUGGGUCUCAGAAUGGCGUCUCUGGCUGUUGGCAGUAGCCAGGGAGCUCCGGCAGGUCGUGGUCUUGGGCUUCCUGGGCAUGGAUGCUCGGCGGGUGAGGGGCAGGAGGAGAUAGGUCUUGCCGGAGAGGUGCGAGUCUCGUCAACGCGCUGGUGGCAGAGAGUCAGUGUCUGCUCUGCAGCCACACGGGCUCCCCCGGGCGCUGCCUUCAGGAGAAGAACAACCAGGAAGAGAGACACUGGGAGACAGAUAGUUGGCUCCUGUUCCCGAUGCUUAAAUGAAAACUUAUGAAAUAAUAAGCUACACAACAUAAAACAAAACAUCCCCAUUCACUAGUAAUUAAAUGCUUAAACAUUUAAAUUAUCCGCA